rnacentral:rRNA from 1 species
UACGUAGGGGGCAAGCGUUGUCCGGAAUCAUUGGGCGUAAAGAGCGUGUAGGCGGCCCGGUAAGUCCGCUGUGAAAGUCCAGGGCUCAACCCUGGAAUGCCGGUGGAAACUGUCAGGCUCGAGUCCGGAAGAGGCGAGUGGAAUUCCUGGUGUAGCGGUGAAAUGCGUAGAGAUCCGGAGGAACACCAGUGGCGAAGGCGGCUGGCUGGACCUGGCCUGACGCUGAGGCGCGAAGGCGUGGGGAGCGAACGGG